UUCACAAUCCUCAAGGCCACUAGCAGAGACAUGAGUAGCAGAAUUGUAAAUGAAAAUGGAGAGAAUUGGCAUAGAGGUGGACAUCCUAAAUUCCUCAUCACGCCUCCACCACCAACUCUAUGUUACGACGGAAGUAAAGAUGGACAAGUGAUGCCAAAAACAGAAACCAACAAGUAAAUCCAGAGAAAAUAUAACAUGUUGUUUAUUCUCUUCCUUUUGGAUUGCUUUUCUGGGACUGUCUACUGGGAUCUGAAUAUACAGAUCAAUAAACAGAGUCACUAAUAUAUGGACAAUGAGCUUUUUAGAGCAGAAGUCAGCAGAGGUCCUCCCCACCCCCAGGGAGCUGGGUGGUGUACAGAGGCAGCAUGGCUUAGAGGAGAGAAGGUGACAAUAACCUGAAUCCUAAUCUUUAUUCCC